UACGGGGGGGGCAAGCGUUGUUCGGAAUUACUGGGCGUAAAGGGUUUGUAGGUGGCUUGCUAAGUCAGACGUGAAAUCCCUCAGCUUAACUGGGGAACUGCGUCUGAUACUGGCGAGCUUGAGUGCAGGAGAGGAACGCGGAAUUCCUGGUGUAGCGGUGGAAUGCGCAGAUAUCAGGAGGAACACCAAUAGCGAAGGCAGCUCGCUGGGACGGUAUUGACGCUAAGGCGCGAAAGCGUGGGGAGCAAACAGG
rnacentral:rRNA from 1 species